ACCGUCUUUAUCACGGGGAGCAUGGUUGUGCCAAGGAUCGUUUCAGUGAGGCCGGCCUUGCUGACACCGUGUAACAACACACACGCGCCGCGUAAUAACAUUGCGUAGGUGCAAUUUUUGGACCC